ACUAAUGGUUUUCUCACGCAGCAAGCGUCGCGUCGGUUCUCGCUUAAUCACUGAAGUUAAGUUGCGUUGAGCACAGUUAAUACUCAGAAGGCUGGCCAUCUGCGAACUUUGUGUGCUGUUGUUA
rnacentral:rRNA from 1 species